rnacentral:lncRNA from 1 species
CAGAUGAUAUUGCUUUUUAAUUGCGGACUCGAGCGGAAAUUGCUUUCACAAACACACAGGGACACACACAUGUGGACACAACUAGCAGAAGGAGUGCCCAAUGACAUUUUGCUUGGCUUGGCACACGAAUGGGUGGACAGGCACGGGCGACGGCGGCUUCUGAAAACUGGCAGCGGAAGUGCGUUGAUUGCAUGACUCCAGGAACUGGGAAGUGUGUGCGGGCAACUGGAGAGCUCCAAAACUUCCCUUUUGCCAUUUGCCUGACCUCAAAAACUUUGACCUUUUGG